rnacentral:rRNA from 1 species
GACGAACGCUGGCGGCGUGCUUAACACAUGCAAGUCGAACGCUGAAGCUCAGCUUUUGUUGGGUGGAUGAGUGGCGAACGGGUGAGUAACACGUGAGUAACCUGCCCCCUUCUUUGGGAUAACGCCCGGAAACGGGUGCUAAUACUGGAUAUUCACUGGUCUUCGCAUGGGGGUUGGUGGAAAGGGUUUUUCUGGUGGGGGAUGGGCUCGCGGCCUAUCGGCUUGUUGGUGGGGUGAUGGCCUACCAAGGCUUUGACGGGUAGCCGGCCUGAGAGGGUGACCGGUCACAGUGGGACUGAGAUACGGCCCAGACUCCUACGGGAGGCAGCAGUGGGGAAUAUUGCACAAUGGGCGCAAGCCUGAUGCAGCGACGCCGCGUGAGGGAUGGAGGCCUUCGGGUUGUGAACCUCUUUCGCUCAUGGUCAAGCCGCAACAAUGGUUGUGGUGAGGGUAGUGGGUAAAGAAGCGCCGGCUAACUACGUG